GCCAGCUAAGGUCCCAAAGUCAUGGUUAAGUGGGAAACGAUGUGGGAAGGCCCAGACAGCCAGGAUGUUGGCUUAGAAGCAGCCAUCAUUUAAAGAAAGCGUAAUAGCUCACUGGUCGAGUCGGCCUGCGCGGAAGAUGUAACGGGGCUAAACCAUGCACCGAAGCUGCGGCAGCGAACGUAUCACUUAAAGCGAUUCAGCGGGUUACGAUUGACGGAGCGAAGCGACGUCAAAGCGUAUACAAAGUCGAGUCGGUUUAAGGAUACGUUCGUUGGGUAGGGGAGCGUUCUGUAAGCCUGUGAAGGUGUGUCGUGAGGCAUGCUGGAGGUAUCAGAAGUGCGAAUGCUGACAUAAGUAACGAUAAAGCGGGUGAAAAGCCCGCUCGCCGGAAGACCAAGGGUUCCUGUCCAACGUUAAUCGGGGCAGGGUGAGUCGACCCCUAAGGCGAGGCCGAAAGGCGUAGUCGAUGGGAAACGGGUUAAUAUUCCCGUACUUGGUGUUACUGCGAAGGGGGGACGGAGAAGGCUAUGUUGGCCGGGCGACGGUUGUCCCGGUUUAAGCGUGUAGGCUGGUUUUCCAGGCAAAUCCGGAAAAUCAAGGCUGAGGCGUGAUGACGAGGCACUACGGUGCUGAAGCAACAAAUGCCCUGCUUCCAGGAAAAGCCUCUAAGCAUCAGGUAACAUCAAAUCGUACCCCAAACCGACACAGGUGGUCAGGUAGAGAAUACCAAGGCGCUUGAGAGAACUCGGGUGAAGGAACUAGGCAAAAUGGUGCCGUAACUUCGGGAGAAGGCACGCUGACACGUAGGUGAAGUGAUUUACUCAUGGAGCUGAAGUCAGUCGAAGAUACCAGCUGGCUGCAACUGUUUAUUAAAAACACAGCACUGUGCAAACACGAAAGUGGACGUAUACGGUGUGACGCCUGCCCGGUGCCGGAAGGUUAAUUGAUGGGGUCAGCGCAAGCGAAGCUCCUGAUCGAAGCCCCGGUAAACGGCGGCCGUAACUAUAACGGUCCUAAGGUAGCGAAAUUCCUUGUCGGGUAAGUUCCGACCUGCACGAAUGGCGUAAUGAUGGCCAGGCUGUCUCCACCCGAGACUCAGUGAAAUUGAACUCGCUGUGAAGAUGCAGUGUACCCGCGGCAAGACGGAAAGACCCCGUGAACCUUUACUAUAGCUUGACACUGAACAUUGAGCCUUGAUGUGUAGGAUAGGUGGGAGGCUUUGAAGYGUGGACGCCAGUCUGCRUGGAGCCGACCUUGAAAUACCACCCUUUAAUGUUUGAUGUUCUAACGUGGACCCGURAUCCGGGUUGCGGACAGUGUCUGGUGGGUAGUUUGACUGGGGCGGUCUCCUCCUAAAGAGUAACGGAGGAGCACGAAGGUUGGCUAAUCCUGGUCGGACAUCAGGAGGUUAGUGCAAUGGCAUAAGCCAGCUUGACUGCGAGCGUGACGGCGCGAGCAGGUGCGAAAGCAGGUCAUAGUGAUCCGGUGGUUCUGAAUGGAAGGGCCAUCGCUCAACGGAUAAAAGGUACUCCGGGGAUAACAGGCUGAUACCGCCCAAGAGUUCAUAUCGACGGCGGUGUUUGGCACCUCGAUGUCGGC
rnacentral:rRNA from 1 species